CAAUAGCGUAUAUUAAAGUUGUUGCGGUUAAAAAGCUCGUAGUUGGAUUUCUGUUGAGAACGUCCGGUCCGCACUAUGUGCGUGUAUCUGGUUCGGUCUUGGCAUCCUCUUGAGGAACGUAUCUGCGCUUGAUUGCGUGGAGCGGUAUUCAAGACUUUUACUUUGAGGAAAUUAGAGUGUUCACGGCAGGCAAGCGCCUUGAAUACGUUAGCAUGGAAUAAUAAUAUAGGAUCUUGGUUCUAUCUUGUUGGUUUCUAGGGCUAAGGUAAUGAUUAAUAGGGAUAAUUGGGGGCAUUUGUAUUAACGCGUCAGAGGUGGAAUUCUUGGAUUGCGUUACGACAAACUACUGCGAAAGCAUUUGCCAAGGAUGUUUUCAUUGA
rnacentral:rRNA from 1 species